rnacentral:rRNA from 1 species
UUUUUAUGGAGAGUUUGAUCCUGGCUCAGGACUAACGCUGGCGGCGUGCUUAACACAUGCAAGUCGAACGGUCUGGCA